rnacentral:rRNA from 1 species
GACGAACCGUGCGAACGUUGUUCGGAAUCACUGGGCUUAAAGGGCGCGUAGGCGGGCGUUCAGGCCCGCGGUGAAAUCCCCCGGCUCAACCGGGGAAGUGCCGCGGGGACCGGACGUCUGGAGUGAGGUAGGGGCGUGCGGAACUGUGGGUGGAGCGGUGAAAUGCGUUGAUAUCCACAGGAACUCCGGUGGCGAAGGCGGCACGCUGGACCUCGACUGACGCUGAGGCGCGAAAGCCAGGGGAGCGAACGGG